rnacentral:rRNA from 1 species
UACGGAGGGUGCAAGCGUUAUCCGGAUUCACUGGGUUUAAAGGGUGCGUAGGCGGUCAUUUAAGUCUGACGUGAAAUCUCCGGGCCUAACCCGGAAACUGCGUUGGAAACUAUCUGACUAGAGGAGUGGAGGGGAGAUUGGAAUACUUGGUGUAGCAGUGAAAUGCGUAGAUAUCAAGUGGAACACCAGUGGCGAAGGCGAAUCUCUGGACAUUUCCUGACGCUGAGGCACGAAAGCCAGGGGAGCAAACGGG